UAAAAUAACACAUUUCAACAGAGACAUCAACAUGAACAUCAACAUCGUGUCUGCUCUAUGUUUUCCAUUCUAGUUUGCACUCAUGUAGGGCAUAUUCUCCUCGCGGGUUACCUUAUUUAGUCCAGGUUUUAUGAACCAAGGAUGUUUGUGUGUAAUGGCCGUCUACCCUCUCAUCCUAAUUUCUCAUUGGUGGGAGUGCUUACUGGUGGCCUCGAGUUGGACUGAGAACUUCACCUUUCUUCGUGUAUGAGCCUCCCUUUUGUUGUGUGCGGUUGCCUUGCGUAAUGUCAAGUGUCACUGUAUUUCUCAGUGUAUUGUGUCCAUUGGGUUUGCGCUUCCCUAAUCGUGUGGUUCGUUUUGAGAUAUUUAUUAGCCAUGUUUUCGUACUCCCAGUUUGUGGUGAUUUGGCAUAUCAGUGCUUGUUUAGUUGGCGGUUGGGGUUGUUUCCAACAUCUGGCUAUCAGGGUCACCGCCUCUAUUAGUGUUUGGAAUAUUAGUUGCCUCUCCGGUUUGUGCCAGAGAUUUAGGUGCAUGAAGAGCAGGCCUUGUUCUGGUGUCAAGUGAUAUGUGGUCCCUAUCGUGUGGGUGAUAAUUCUCUCUACUUGUCUCCAGUAUGGGGUCAGAGCUGGACAAGUCCACCAUAUGUGGAACAUCGUUCCCCGUUCCCCGCAAUUCCUCCAACAUUCCGCCUUGGUGCUUGGAUAUAUUUUGUCCAGUCUGUCCGGGACCAUGUACCAUCUAUAUAGAACUUUCCUCAUUGUUUCUAAGUGUGAGGCGCACAUGGUGAGACCUUUGUGUGCUCUGAAAGCUAGUUUCCAAUCCCUGUCC